rnacentral:rRNA from 1 species
UACAGAGGGUGCGAGCGUUGUCCGGAAUCACUGGGCGUAAAGGGCGCGUAGGCGGCGCGGGCAGUCAACGGUGAAAGCUUGGGGCUCAACCCCGAGUCGGCCGUCGAUACUCCCGGGCUUGAGCACUGUAGAGGCAGGUGGAAUUCCGGGUGUAGCGGUGGAAUGCGUAGAGAUCCGGAAGAACACCGGUGGCGAAGGCGGCCUGCUGGGCAGUAGCUGACGCUGAGGCGCGAGCAGCGUGGGGAGCAAACAGG